AGCUCCAAUAGCGUAUAUUCAAGUUGUUGCAGUUAAAAAGCUCGUAGUUGAAUUUUGGGCCUGAUGAUCUGGUAUACCCUCACGGGUAUCACUUGCUUGUUGGGUCUUUCCUCAUGGCAAACUCGUGUGCUAUUUAUUUAGUGCGCUUGGGAACCAUGACUGUUACUUUGAAAAAAUUAGAGUGUUUAAAACAGACGUUCGUCUGAAUAGAUUAGCAUGGAAUAACGGAAUAGGACUUUUUUUCUAUUUUGUUGGUUUUAGAAUGAAAGUAAUGAUUAAUAGGGACAGUUGGGGGCAUUAGUAUUCCAUUGUCAGAGGUGAAAUUCUUGGAUUUAUGAAAGACUAACUUCUGCGAAAGCAUUUGCCAAGGAUGUUUUCAUUA
rnacentral:rRNA from 1 species